rnacentral:rRNA from 1 species
GAUUGGGUAUAAGAUGGGCAUGCGUAUCAUUAGUUAGAUGGUGGGGUAACGGCUCACCAUGGCGGUGAUGCUUAGGGGUUCUGAGAGGAAGGUCCCCCACACUGGUACUGAGAUACGGACCAGACUCCUACGGGAGGCAGCAGUGAGGAAUAUUGGUCAAUGGUCGGAAGACUGAACCAGCCAUGCCGCGUGCAGGAAGAAGGUCUUAUGGAUUGUAAACUGCUUUUGUACGGGAGUAAUAAGGUGUUUGCGAACGCUGAUGAGAGUACCGUACGAAUAAGGAUCGGCUAACUCCGUGCCAGCAGCCGCGGUAAUACGGAGGAUUCGAGCGUUAUCCGGAUUUAUUGGGUUUAAAGGGUGCGUAGGCGGUCAUAUAAGUUUGAGGUAAAAGGCUAUUGCUUAACGAUGGUAUGCCUUGAAUACUGUAUGACUUGGAUUUGAGCGGAGCAGGCGGAAUGAACCAAGUAGCGGUGACAUGCAUAGAUAUGAUUCAGAACACCGGUCGUGAAGGCAGCUUGCUAGGGCAAUAUUGA